rnacentral:rRNA from 1 species
GACGAACGCUGGCGGCGUGCCUAAUACAUGCAAGUAGAACGCUGAAGGAGGAGCUUGCUUCUCCGGAUGAGUUGCGAACGGGUGAGUAACGCGUAGGUAACCUGCCUGGUAGCGGGGGAUAACUAUUGGAAACGAUAGCUAAUACCGCAUAACAGUAGAUGUUGCAUGACAUUUGCUUAAAAGGUGCAAUUGCAUCACUACCAGAUGGACCUGCGUUGUAUUAGCUAGUUGGUGAGGUAACGGCUCACCAAGGCGACGAUACAUAGCCGACCUGAGAGGGUGAGCGGCCACGCUGGGACUGAGACACGGCCCAGACUCCUACGGGAGGCAGCAGUAGGGAAGCUUCGGCAAUGGACGGAAGUCUGACCGAGCAACGCCGCGUGAGUGAAGAAGGUUUUCGGAUCGUAAAGCUCUGUUGUAAGAGAAGAACGAGUGUGAGAGUGGAAAGUUCACACUGUGACGGUAUCUUACCAGAAAGGGACGGCUAACUACGUG